AACGAACGCUGGCGGCAUGCCUAACACAUGCAAGUCGAACGAAGUCUUCGGACUUAGUGGCGCACGGGUGCGUAACGCGUGGGAAUCUGCCCUUGGGUACGGAAUAACUCAGAGAAAUUUGUGCUAUACCGUAUAAUGUCUUCGGACCAAAGAUUUAUCGCCCAAGGAUGAGCCCGCGUAAGAUUAGCUAGUUGGUGGGGUAAAAGCCUACCAAGGCGACGAUCUUUAGCUGGUCUGAGAGGAUGAUCAGCCACACUGGGACUGAGACACGGCCCAGACUCCUACGGGAGGCAGCAGUGGGGAAUAUUGGACAAUGGGCGAAAGCCUGAUCCAGCAAUGCCGCGUGAGUGAUGAAGGCCCUAGGGUUGUAAAGCUCUUUUACCAGGGAUGAUAAUGACAGUACCUGGAGAAUAAGCUCCGGCUAACUCCGUG
rnacentral:rRNA from 1 species